rfam:Talaromyces stipitatus ATCC 10500 scf_1105507295541 genomic scaffold, whole genome shotgun sequence.
GGCAAGAUGGCCGAGCGGUCUAAGGCGCUGCAUUCAAGUGAGCUUGUAGGGGCAAACCCCUAUAGGGUACACUGUGCCGGUUUUACCGACCGCGCACAGGGAUUUCGCAGUCUCGCAAGAGGCGGGGGUUCGAAUCCCCCUCUUGUCA